AAAUUGGCGAUGCGUCUUAAGCAUGCAAGUCGAGCGGGCUUAUUCGGGCAACUGGAUAAGUUAGCGGCGAACUGGUGAGUAACACGUAGGUAAUCUGCCGUGAAGUGGGGGAUAACCCAUGGAAACAUGGACUAAUACCGCAUAUACUCUUGCUACAUAAGUAGAGUAGAGGAAAGUUUUUUCGCUUCACGAUGAGCCUGCGGCCUAUUAGCCUGUUGGUAGGGUAAUGGCCUACCAAAGCUACGAUAGGUAGCCGACCUGAGAGGGUGACCGGCCACAUUGGGACUGAGAUACGGCCCAGACUCCUACGGGAGGCAGCAGCUGAGAAUCUUCCACAAUGGACGAAAGUUUAAGAUCGCUGAGGGAGAAAACCUUC
rnacentral:rRNA from 1 species